AACCUCGGGAAACUGAGGAUAAACCGCGAUAUGCCAUUAUGUCUGGAAUUGAUUUAUGGCUCAAAUCUAUAUGGCCCCUGGAUUGGACUGCGGCCGAUCAGGCUGUUGGUGAGGUAAUGGCCCACCAAACCUAAAACCGGUACGGGCUCUGAGAGGAGAAGCCCGGAGAUGGGCACUGAGACAAGGGCCCAGGCCCUAUGGGGCGCAGCAGGCGCGAAACCUCUGCAAUAAGCGAAAGCUUGACAGGGUUAUUCUGAGUGAUUUCCGCUAAGGAAGUCUUUUGGCACCUCUAAAAAUGGUGCAGAAUAAGGGGUGGGCAAGCCUGGUGUCAGCCGCCGCGGUAAUACCAGCACCCCGAGUGGUCGGGACGAUUAUUGGGCCUAAAGCAUCCGUAGCCGGUUCUACAAGUCUUCCGUUAAAUCCACCUGCUUAACAGAUGGGCUGCAGAGGAUACUAUAGAGCUAGGAGGCGGGAGAGGCAAGCGGUACUUAGUGGGUAGGGGUAAAAUCCGUUGAUCCACUGAAGACCACCAGUGGCGAAGGCGGCUUGCCAGAACGCGCUCGACGGUGAGGGAUGAAAGCUGGGGGAGCAAACCGGAUUAGAUACCCGGGUAGUCCCAGCUGUAAACGAUGCAGACUCGGUGAUGAAUAGGCUUCGUGCCUAUUCAGUGCCGCAGGGAAGCCGUUAAGUCUGCCGCCUGGGGAGUACGGUCGCAAGACUGAAACUUAA
rnacentral:rRNA from 1 species